rnacentral:rRNA from 1 species
UACGUAGGGACCAAGCGUUGUUCGGAUUUACUGGGCGUAAAGGGCGCGUAGGCGGCAAUUCAAGUCAGUUGUGAAAUCUCCGAGCUUAACUCGGAACGGUCAACUGAUACUGCUUUGCUAGAGUACAGAAGGGGCAAUCGGAAUUCUUGGUGUAGCGGUGAAAUGCGUAGAUAUCAGGAGGAACACCUGAGGUGAAGACGGGUUGCUGGGCUGAUACUGACGCUGAGGCGCGAAAGCUAGGGUAGCAAACGGG